AUACGGUCAUAUCAAGUUGAAACACCGGUUCUCGUAAGAUCAACGAAGUUAAGUAACGUCGAACCUGGUUAUCACUUAGAUGAGUGACCGCUGUGAAAUAUCAGGUGCUGCAAGC